UACAGAGGUGGCAAGCGUUGUUCGGAAUUACUGGGCGUAAAGGGCGCGUAGGCGGUCAGGUCAGUCCCGUGUGAAAUCCCUCGGCUCAACUGAGGAACUGCACGGGAAACUGCCUGGCUUGAGUUCGGGAGAGGGAAGCGGAAUUCCGGGUGUAGCGGUGAAAUGCGUAGAUAUCCGGAGGAACACCGGUGGCGAAGGCGGCUUCCUGGACCGACACUGACGCUCAUGCACGAAAGCGUGGGGAGCAAACAGG
rnacentral:rRNA from 1 species